rnacentral:rRNA from 1 species
CCAGCAUCCUAGCCGAAGCGCGGACCUCAGUCCCGGCUGGCCGUAUUACACCCUGGGCUAUAACACCUCCACCGAAGUGGAGGCCACAUUCCCAGAGCCUUUAUCCGGCCGCCGAAACUGAUGCUGGCCUGUCCAAACUGAGUAAACCGGUCAGAAGACCGGCCGAACAGUUUAAACAAGUCUGAUUGCAAGCGCUUCCCUUUCAACAAUUUCACGUGCUUUUUAACUCUCUUUCCAAAGUGCUUUUCAUCUUUCGAUCACUCUACUUGUGCGCUAUCGGUCUCUCGCCAAUAUUUAGCUUUAGAAGAAAUUUACCUCCCAUUUAGAGCUGCAUUCCCAAACAACUCGACUCGUCGAAGGAGAUUUACAUAGGGUGCCAUUUCCUGUCACAUACGGGAUUCUCACCCUCUAUGACGUCCUGUUCCAAGGAACUUAGACAGGCGGCUUCCCCAAAUCAUCCUCUACAAAUUACAAUGCGAACCCGAAGGCUAGCUUUCAAAUUUGAGCUGUUGCCGCUUCACUCGCCGUUACUAGG